GACUCCGUUGACAAAAUGGCUUAAGUCACCAGACUUUCAAUCUGGUCAGUGCGGGUUCGAGUCCCGUCGGAGUCGCCA
rnacentral:tRNA from 1 species